CCUACGGGAGGCAGCAGUGGGGGAUAUUGCACAAUGGGGGAAACCCUGAUGCAGCGACGCCGCGUGGGCGAAGAAGUAUUUCGGUAUGUAAAGCUCUAUCAGCAGGGAAGAAGAAAUGACGUUACCUGAGUAAGAAGCACCGGCUAAAUACGUGCCAGCAGCCGCGGUAAUACGUAGGGGGCAAGCGUUAUCCGGAUUUACUGGGUGUAACGGGAGGGCAGGCGGCAGGGCAAGUCUGAAGGGAAAGCCCGAGGCCCAACCGCGGGACUGCAUGGGGAACUGCCGGGCUGGAGUGCCGGAGAGGUAGGCGGAAUUCCGAGUGUAGCGGUGAAAUGCGUAGAUAUUAGGAGGAACACCAGUGGCGAAGGCGGCCUACUGGACGGUAACUGACGCUGAGGCUCGAAAGCGUGGGGAGCAAACAGGAUUAGAUACCCGAGUAGUC
rnacentral:rRNA from 1 species